GGGUCAUUUCGCCUGUUGGCGACCAUUUAGUGCAGUUGGCAAGUUUGACGGCGAUAAUAAAAAUGCUCCAGCACUCAUUUCCAUGUCAAAUUUGUGUAAUGUAUUCCUUAUAUACUCUAUUUUAAGAUUAACUUUCAGUUGUAUUAGAAAUAUCUUACGUUUUCUAUUUAAAUCGAUAAACCUCAAAAUUAGGCGUUUUACCCAGUUUGCGUCCACAAAAUCCAAUUCGCGUCCACCCAUGGUCCAGUUCGCGUCCAGUAGCUUAGAAAAGGAAUAUAGGGGUGAUUUUUUUAAGAAUUAAUAAAGAAAGAUUGUAUUAGAUCAAUUUCUUUAUUUAACAAUAAACUUAAUUAUUAAAAGUCAACAUUAUCAUCAUUUAAAAUUCACUUUAAAAAAUAAAAAUAAUUCUUCUCAACAUUGGUUUAAGUAACUUAAAAUAAGAUUAAACAGUAUUUUUUUUUAUUAAGAUAUACAGGGUGUUUGGCGCAUGGACCGACAAAAAUUUUUGGGGGAUUCGUGAGGCCAUGUACUAGUUUUCACUCAUAGACCCAAUGUCCUAUAUGUCACUGUAUUCGAGAUACGAUUUUUUUUGUUUGUUUUUAAAAAUUACCGGAACUAUCACCUUUAAAACGCUAUAACUUUUCAGUCUGUUGUCGAAUUUACACCAAAUCACUUUCAUUGCGUUCUCUGAUGUAUUAUUAUUCCAAAUAAAACAUAAAUUCAUAGCACUAGAUGGAAAAAAAAUACUUGUUGAGCUUCCAAACUCUUAAAAAUGAAAAAACGUAUGAAAAAUGUCAAAUUCAAAAUUAAUUAUAAAAAAAAGUAAAAGCUUUUAUGAACUUCGUUUAAUAAAAAAAAAUUGCCUACUUAAUACCCUUUCCAACGAUAUGCCACAUGGGUGUGAAAUCAUUAAUAAUGUCGUCAAAAUCAGAGCAGGAACGAACACGCACUCUAACGUCUCUAACAACGAACCCGUUUGAUAGAACAAUGGUAAGCAGGUAAUUGGCAGGUAAACUGCCUGUCUCUUUCUUACGCAUGAAAAAUAUCUCUUGUCUUUGUCUAUCAUUGGGUUGGAGUUUGUUAUGUGAUCCUUGUUUAGUCGAGAUUUGACUAUCUCUGCUAUCGGAAGUGUCCGUGUAUUUCACGUUUUCCUAUUUCGUUGUUUUUUGUUAAAGUUUGUUUUUGUUAAGUUUUGUUUGUUGAACUUUUCUGUUAAACUGUUGGUGUAUUCACCGUGCUUGUUACAAUGCCUAACUUCAGCAACGAAGAGUAUGCUGACAUGUUGUUGGCAUAUGGCAGCGCUAAUUGUAACGCUCGUGAAGCGCGUAGAAUUUACCAGCAGCGUUAUCCUAACCGGCGUAUACCACACCACGAGACGUUUGCUACAACCUAUCGACGUCUGAGGGAGACUGGAAACAUAAAUUUCCAAGAGCCUCGCGUUAAUGUGAGGCAACAUAAUGUUGUAAUUGAUGAAAGCAUUUUGCAAGCUUUUGAUGAGGAUCCAACGACAAGUAUUCGAGUUGUAGCUGAAAGACUUCACUUGUCGGUUUGGAAAGUUUGGUCAGUUCUUCGGGAAAAUGGAAAGCAUGCGUAUCACUACACUUCUGUUCAAGGUCUCAUAGAUGAUGAUCACAGGAGACGGCUCGAUUUUUGCCGAUUUAUGAUGCAUACGGACGUAGAUGAUACAAAUUUUUUAAAAAGAAUUUUGUGGACUGAUGAAUCCAAUUUUAAUCACGAGGGAAUUGUGAAUCUCCACAACCUUCACCAUUGGGCGCAAAAAAGACAAAAUCCCCGCAAGAAAAGACAAAGUUCCUUUCAAACUAAGUUUAGUGUAAACGUUUGGGCGGGGUUAUUGGAAGACACCUGAUCGGUCCACAUUUCUUACCAGAGCGCCUGACCGGAGAAAAUUAUUUGAAUUUUUUACUCGAAGAUUUACCUGAAUUGGUAUUACCAGUAUUAGAUGGAGAACCAAUUAUUUUCCAAAAUGAUGGCUGUCCAGCACAUUACCAGCGAGACGUGCGAGAACAUUUGGACAACUGUUUUCCAAAUUCAUGGAUCGGAAGAGGCGGCCCAAUUCCUUGGCCUGCACGUUCACCAGACCUGACGCCCUUGGAUUUUUAUGUCUGGGGCCGUGCAAAAGAAAUUGUGUAUGCGACUGAAGUACCCACAAGAGAAAUUUUAAUCGAAAGAAUAAAUUGCGCCUUUGAAAUUAUGAAAGCAGAAAUGCGACUGAGGACGACGACUGUAGAAAUUAGAAAAAGAUGCCGUGCAUGCAUUCGCAACAGAGGCAGUCAUUUUGAACAUAAUUUAUAACUUAAAUUUAAUUAAAACAUUUUAAAACA